UCAUCCACGCACAGCAGGC
rnacentral:piRNA from 1 species